CUUCCUGUUAUUGCCCGUGCGGGAGGCGGCUCUGUGGGAGGGGUGUGGGUUGUUGGCGUUGCUUCCGUCAGCGCUCGCGGCGGGGGAUGGUAGCCUGCUGAGGGAGUGUAGCGGUGGCUGUGGGGCGGCUCAACUCAAGGGUUUGUGACUGCUGCGGGGCGCUACCUGGCCCGGCCCGGCCCGGCCCAGCCCUGCCCUGCCUGUCGGGGCGGCGGCUGCGGGCCGGCUCGGAGGUGGGGAGGCCGCGCCUGUGAGGUUUACUCAUACGAAUCACUGUUUGAAAAACUUCCAGUACAAAGUUACCUACAGACUUAAAAAUGCCUCCACGACCAUCAUCUGGCGAACUAUGGGGCAUCCAUUUGAUGCCACCGAGGAUCCUUGUGGAGUGUCUUCUCCCAAAUGGAAUGAUAGUGACUCUAGAAUGCCUCCGUGAGGCUACCUUACUAACUAUUAAACAUGAACUCUUUAAAGAAGCAAGAAAAUACCCUCUCUACCAGCUCCUUCAAGAUGAAUCUUCUUACAUUUUUGUAAGUGUUACACAAGAAGCAGAAAGAGAAGAAUUUUUCGAUGAAACACGGAGACUUUGUGACCUGCGCCUAUUUCAACCUUUUCUAAAAGUAAUUGAACCAGUAGGUAACAGAGAAGAAAAGAUUCUUAAUAGAGAAAUAGGUUUUGCUAUUGGUAUGCCUGUCUGUGAAUUUGACAUGGUUAAGGAUCCAGAAGUACAAGACUUCAGAAGAAAUAUUCUUAAUGUUUGUAAAGAAGCAGUGGAUCUUCGAGAUGCCAACGCACCACAUAGUAGAGCAUUAUAUGUCUGUCCUCCAAACGUGGAGUCUUCAUCUGAGCUACCCAAACACAUAUACAAUAAACUAGAUAAAGGGCAAAUUAUAGUGGUGAUAUGGGUAAUAGUCUCACCAAACAAUGAUAAGCAGAAAUACACCUUAAAAAUCAAUCACGACUGCGUGCCUGAGCAAGUUAUUGCUGAAGCGAUUAGGAAGAAAACGCGAAGUAUGUUGCUGUCAUCUGAACAACUGAAACUUUGUGUCUUGGAAUACCAGGGCAAAUAUAUUUUAAAAGUGUGUGGCUGUGAUGAAUACUUGCUAGAAAAAUAUCCACUGAGCCAGUAUAAGUAUAUCAGAAGCUGUAUAAUGCUUGGUCGCAUGCCCAAUCUGAUGCUGAUGGCUAAGGAAAGCCUAUAUACCCAGCUACCACUGGACACCUUUACUAUGCCAUCUUACUCCAGGCGUAUCUCUACAGCUACACCCUACAUGAAUGGAGAAGCUACAGCCAAAUCUCUCUGGACAAUAAACAGUGCUCUCAGAAUAAAAAUCCUCUGUGCAACCUAUGUAAAUGUGAACAUCAGAGACAUUGACAAGAUCUAUGUUAGAACAGGUAUCUACCAUGGAGGGGAGCCUUUGUGUGACAAUGUGAAUACUCAAAGGGUACCCUGUUCUAAUCCCAGAUGGAAUGAAUGGCUAUUGUAUGACAUGUACAUUCCUGAUCUUCCACGUGCUGCUCGGCUCUGCCUUUCUAUCUGUUCUGUUAAAGGCCGGAAGGGUGCUAAAGAGGAGCACUGUCCAUUAGCGUGGGGAAAUAUAAACAUGUUUGAUUACACAGACACUCUUGUAUCUGGGAAAAUGGCUUUGAACCUUUGGGCAGUACCUCAUGGGCUGGAGGAUUUGUUGAAUCCUAUUGGUGUUACUGGAUCAAAUCCAAAUAAGGAAACUCCAUGUUUAGAACUGGAAUUUGAUUGGUUUAGCAAUCCUGUAAAGUUUCCAGAUAUGACGGUGAUUGAAGAACAUGCCAAUUGGACUAUAUCACGUGAACUGGGGUUUAACUACAGCUAUGCGGGGCUGAGUAACAGAAUAGCUAGAGAUAAUGAAUUAAGAGAAAGUGACAAGGAGCAACUGCGAGCCAUAUGUACACGAGAUCCUUUGUCUGAAAUCACUGAACAAGAGAAAGACUUCCUCUGGAGCCACAGACACUAUUGCGUGAAUACUCCAGAAAUUCUGCCCAAGCUACUUUUGUCUGUUAAAUGGAAUUCGAGAGAUGAAGUAGCCCAGAUGUACUGUUUGGUGAAAGAUUGGCCUCCAAUCAAGCCAGAGCAAGCAAUGGAGCUUUUGGACUGUAAUUAUCCAGAUCCAAUGGUGCGAGCUUUUGCAGUUCGGUGUCUAGAGAAGUACUUGACAGAUGACAAACUGUCUCAGUACUUAAUCCAGCUGGUACAGGUUCUGAAAUACGAACAGUAUUUAGAUAAUCAGCUUGUGAGAUUUUUACUCAAGAAGGCACUGACCAAUCAAAGGAUAGGACACUUCUUCUUUUGGCAUUUAAAGUCUGAAAUGCACAAUAAAACUGUAAGUCAGAGGUUUGGUUUACUUCUGGAGUCCUAUUGUCGAGCAUGUGGAAUGUACCUAAAGCACCUGAGCAGACAGGUGGAGGCUAUGGAGAAGUUGAUUAACCUCACAGAUAUUCUCAAGCAGGAAAAAAAAGAUGAGACCCAGAAGGUACAGAUGAAGUUUCUUGUUGAACAAAUGAGGCGGCCAGAUUUUAUGGAUGCUUUACAAGGUUUUAUCUCUCCCCUUAAUCCUGCGCAUCAACUGGGAAAUCUUCGGCUUGAGGAGUGCAGGAUAAUGUCAUCUGCAAAAAGGCCCUUGUGGUUGAACUGGGAAAACCCAGAUAUUAUGUCUGAAUUGUUAUUUCAGAACAAUGAGAUAAUCUUUAAAAAUGGAGACGACUUGCGUCAGGACAUGCUGACACUUCAGAUAAUUCGAAUUAUGGAAAACAUCUGGCAAAAUCAGGGUCUUGAUCUUCGGAUGUUACCUUAUGGUUGUUUGUCUAUUGGUGACUGUGUGGGACUCAUCGAGGUAGUGAGGAGCUCUCAUACGAUCAUGCAGAUUCAGUGUAAAGGAGGCUUAAAAGGAGCAUUGCAGUUCAACAGCCAUACGUUGCAUCAGUGGCUCAAGGACAAGAACAAAGGAGACAUGUAUGAUGCGGCUAUUGACUUGUUUACACGUUCUUGUGCUGGUUACUGUGUUGCUACCUUUAUACUGGGCAUUGGUGAUCGCCACAAUAGUAACAUCAUGGUAAAAGAUGAUGGACAACUGUUUCACAUUGACUUUGGGCACUUCCUCGAUCACAAGAAGAAGAAAUUUGGUUAUAAAAGAGAGCGCGUGCCAUUUGUCUUAACACAAGACUUUUUAAUAGUGAUCAGUAAAGGAGCCCAAGAAUGUACCAAAACAAGGGAGUUUGAAAGGUUUCAGGAGAUGUGUUAUAAGGCUUAUCUUGCAAUUCGGCAGCAUGCCAAUCUCUUCAUAAAUCUUUUCUCCAUGAUGCUUGGCUCAGGAAUGCCAGAACUGCAGUCCUUUGAUGAUAUUGCAUACAUUCGAAAGACCCUUGCAUUGGACAAAACUGAGCAGGAAGCUCUUGAGUACUUCAUGAAGCAAAUGAAUGAUGCUCACCAUGGUGGCUGGACAACAAAAAUGGACUGGAUCUUCCACACAAUAAAGCAACAUGCUUUGAACUGAAAUAAAAGCAAAGACAACAAUAACUGGUAGCCCGCUUUGUGGGUACUGCACUGUUAAUACCCAUUAGCAGCAAAGACUGGUUGCAUAGGAAUUGCACAAACCGUGAGCAACAUUAGAAUUUAUGGCAAGAAAAGAGAUGAACUGUUCAGACAACUGUCGAAAAAUAAUGUAAAACAGGGUUUCAGAUAGCACUAAAGUUGUACACUUCAAAAAUUAAGCUUUAGUAUGAUGUGUGACUUCAUGUUAUGCCUUAAGCCCAAAAAGCCCAGUUCUAUCUGUCCAAGACUCCCGUUUCCAUUAACGUCACUGAAGGUGACCAGAUAAUACUCCUAGGACCAAAUUCAACCCUGGUGAAAGAGGACACAAGUACCAUUGAAGUAGUGGGAGAUACACCCACUAAUGCGAGAGGUGAACUUGGCCUAAGUCUCUUCACAAAUUUUUGGGCAUCACUCUUCAUAUUACUGAAGUGAUAUGCUGGCUAUUCAAGGAACAUACAUUUAAACCCUCAAUCUUUGGGUCCACCAUUUCUCCUCUUUCUUCCUCCUUUGGAAGUGGUUGUUUAAUCCAGUAACAGAUACAUCAAAAAUAGCAAUUUAGAUUUUUCAAUAUGAUCAAUAAUAAGCAGUUCAACAUACAGCUGAUACAUUGGAUAGCUCAAAGCAUGUGGAGUUACCAAACAUUUUAUAGCUAUGUCUGUUUUGCGUGUGUGUGUGUAAUGUAUAUUUGUAAAUCUAGUUGUUGUCCUCUAACACAAUUACAAUGUGUGCAAUUGAUUAAAUUGGCACCACUUUUUGAAACUAUUCAGAGUACCGAAGAUUUCAGAUUGCCCUUAUGCACUACUUCAGGUAGGACUGUUUUUCUAAUUAUUAAACAGGUUUUUUAAUUUAGUGAAGCCCAUGAUUGAGAGUGAUGUUCACCCUAACAUUUUAAACUUGCUAGAUUGGCAGCACUUGGAACUUAUUCCAAAGGUCUGUAGCUUUUGGGGGUUUAGCUUGUUCACUUGCAAACACACACCGAGGUGCCACUCAGAAAGUGCAAUACCCCAUGUAAUAUAAAAUAUGCUGACAGCUGGUGUUAGAUUAGAAUAUAAAUAAACUGUACUUUGUGCAGGCUGUACUGAUGAGGUAAUGAGUGGUUGGCUUCAUUUAGCAAAUUGUAAUAUAUUAAAAAUGUGCAAUCAGUUACAUUAUGAAAGACUGGGGAUUGUAAAGCCAAGACUUUGGUCUUUCAAGACACUUUCAUAGUCAAGAUCCUGCAGUUGAUGACUGCACACAUGGAUACUUGAUGUUGUGGGGGGAAAUCUGUUUUUGUGAAAACUACAGAAGUUCUGAGAAUAGUAUGGGGAAUGUGAAGUUUUAUUUCCUUAGUUCUACUAGAUAUUUUGGAGUAGUCCAAUAGACUUCCCAUUACUCUUAUUGACUGUUACAUAUUCCUUUUUGUUCAUAUGAAUAUUUUAACUCCUGCUAACCUUGGUCAUACUUCUAGAGCAAAAUCACCCUUGUAUGUAUUACUUUGCAGUCAACAUAGUCUAAUAGUUUAGCUCUUCUAAAACAUGGCUUAGUUUCAGUUUAAACUUAGUUCACAAAAUUUGAAACCCAGUUGGCUGUAACUCUUAAUUUAACUGAGUAAAACUUGCACAAAUGCCACAUUAGGUGCUAUAUUAUCCUUAUUUAUCUGGUAUUGAAACAAUGCUUUACCUCGUUUAUCUAAGAGAUGGUCAGCCUUUUCUAGCCUGGAUGAAAAGAUCAACUCAAAUUUAUUGGAUGUUAUGAGCUUGACUUCUUUUGUACUUUGCCCUUUCCUAGCCAUUUACUUCUGUAAAUAUGAGUGAGUAUAAAUGUCUUUCAGUUCAAGCAUACGGUGUUCUGCACCCUUUUUGCACAAACAGAAAGGUAUGAGGAAUCAGGCUCUGUUUCUAAAAGUUACUGCAACUAAAUGCUGCGCACAAGCUGUAGAAGUUAUUAACAUCAAAUAGUAAAAGAAAGGAAACUUCAUAGUGAUACAGACAUAAUAUAAUUUGGGAUAAUUAUAGCCUUUAAAUUAAAAAAAAAGUAGGAGAAACUCAUAGGCUUUAAGCAGUUGUUCUUACCAUAACCAGGAUGGGCAUUUGAAAAAUAUUCUGCAGGUGUUUCAGGAAAAAAAACUAAAUCCUUUUUUCAGCUUCAAAAUGUUCAAUCCUAAUUACCUUAUCCUGCUAAUGCCAGUUUUGUGCUGAUGUAACUUCACUGAAGAUAGUGGAGGUAGUUUACUUCCAUUGGUGUAAAUGAGAGGAUGUCAUCUGUUUUCAGUAUCAGAAGUAAGAUCUGCUUACAGACUGUGAAAGCACCUGUAACUGAGCUCUAGAUUUUUACAGAUAUUGCUUGGAAUGUGGAUUUUUAUUUUUUAACUAUUCCCAAUUCAUGGAGAUUUGAAAAUGUUCCCUUUAUUCUGAGAAUCAGCUGCAGAAAACACUAAGUAGCUUAUUUUGAGCUUGAACUGAAUCUUGAACACCUUGCUCCUGCAAAACUUUCUAGUAGGACUUCCCAGAGCAAGAAGCCCACGACUGGGCCAUGUUUCCUUAAGAAGCAUUAGGAAAUGGUGAUUUAGUGAAAUACAAAUUUAAAAACAGUAACUUUUUUUCAACUGUGAAACGAUGUUUGAUUUAAUGACAGAAAUUAGGCUGCUGUUGAUUAGUUUUUCUUUAAAAUAUGUUCUUUGCUUUUGUAAAGGUAGCAGAAUAAGCACCUGUACUGACUUACGUGUGGACACUUCUCUGUUCUGAAAGGGGGCGUUAGUUUUUUCAUGGUGAAACAGACUUUCAGUAUAAUUUUUUAAAUUAAAAAAAAGCAUUUAAAUAAAACCAAAAUUGUUAGUGGUUUGGCAUCUUGUGGCGAAGAUAGAAGCCUGCAUAUUAAGGGCGAUAUAGAAAUUACCAGGCUUGUAGAGAACUUUGUGAUGACCCUGCUGUUGGUGGUUUGGAGGGUUGUUUUUGUUUUUUCUUCCAACUUUCCUUUUUAUGUAAAAUAUUACAUGCCUUUUAGGGGUCAGUAGCCCACAUUUGUUGACAAUUUGAAGAUAUUUUCUUUGCUUUGUCAUUUUAUAACUGGCAUGUUCCAGCAUCUGUUCUUAAUAAUUGUGAAUUCCUCCUGUUUUGCAUGUCUGUACAGGUUGCAGACCUGGGCUGGACCCAUUCAAAAAACAAAUAUCAAAAAAGCCACUUGAAAUUACUAUUUUGUUGAUGUCUCUGACGUUCUGAAAAUGCUUCAAGUUAAUGAAAAUGGUGUGGUAUUACAGAAAGAAUUGUAACUUGCUGCUUCUAAGAUUAUUUUUUUUUUUAAACUUCUUUCUCUUGUUUUAGUUUUACUUGAAUGGAAGAAGAACCACGCUUUUUUUUUUAAAUACUAUAUAGCUGUGGAUGUUGUUGCAGAUUGUUGAAUCCCAACUUAAUUUUGCAAUACAUGUUUCAUACAAAUAACGAAUUUGUAUCUUUUUUUAUAUGCUGAAAGUUGUCUCAGUUUAGGUAAGGCUAAAUGUUGUAUAGCUCACCACCCCUACAGUUGGGGUGGGUUUGGGGUGGGGUUUUUUGCUUUGGUUUUGUUUUUUACAUUUGUGUUAAUGAAGGGGAGCCAACUGGAGAUUGGAUAUAGAAGUUCUGUUAUCUGCAUACACUAACCAAAUCUAUAGGUGCUGUGGUCUUUGAGAAAUUCUGAUUUCGCUUUAUGCUGAUAGAACACUGACUUCAGGAGAAUCACUCUGGAUUCACAACAGCAUAUGAAAUCAGAAUUAGACUAAUAUAUUAAAGUCCCAGAUUACUUACUCAUAUGAUUCAGUAUGAACGAUGCUCUCUUAAUGAGAAGAAUGUUUACUAGCAGCCCAGUUACACACUUGACAAUUUUACUUUGAAAUUGUCUUUAUUAAUUAGCUUUUUCAGCUCUCCAAUUCGUAACUACUGUGAUCUUGUCUAUAGUUACUUUCAUUCUUGAGACAUCCAGGAUUUUUAUUGCUUGCUAGCUUAAAUGUUUCCUCUUUCUUCUCUUUCAUAGUAUAAGAACUUGUACCCACACUCGGGAAAAGUAGUUGUUAAUUUGCAGUACAGUAUUCUUGACUUCUGACUCUUAAGUAUGAGGUCUUACUGUGUUACCACUCCUGACUCUAAAACAGAGGUGGAUCCCUCUGUCCCUGUCUCUUCCCUUCCCCUCUCCCCUAAAAAGGGACAGGCCCAUAGCAUAAGAACAAUAUAAAAUCUUGUAAGAGAAGAUCAACUGAAGCAAUGCUCUGUCUGUACUUUGAAGCUAGCGCCCCCAUGGGUUUGCAUAAAUAUGUCUUAAGUUUAAGUGUCCUUACUGUCACUUCUGUAUGUGAUGCAAUAUACCUUUGGCAUAAGGAAGGCAAAAAAUACACCAUUCUGUCUUGACUCUUUCUGAAAUUCUGGUGCCGGUUCCCCAGUAGCUAUUACACUGGUUUGGGAACCAUUUAGUUCAGUGUAACUGCAUCAGUUUUGUUAGGAACGUGUUCCAGUAAUAAAAUUGAUCACAGUUAAACCUGACUUAAUUGUAUUGCUGAAGUUAUAGAAAGCCUAAUUCAAGCAGAAGCUGUUUCUCAUAAGAAUCUUAUGUCUGUUGUAGUUUAGUUAAUCUUUGAGAGCCAAAAUAUGGAUAUUCAUAGCUGCAAUCUCAUUCUGCCUUGUUUCUUUGGUUUAACUAUUUUUAAUCUAUUUCCAGGCUUUAUUAAUAGUGUUCUAUAUCCUGAAUUAUCAACUACCCUAGGCUGUCCAAUGUUGUCUUACCAUUUCAUUUGGGCAGGGGAAAGAAAAGGAAGAGAGGAAGAGAUGAACCCUCUUGUCUCACAGCCACUGUGGUUCAAAUUCUUCAUCUUCGCAAGAGAAGAUAGAUGUAUAAUUCAUCAUCUGGGAGUAUCAUCCUUUCCCCUUGCCCCUUCGUACCUCUGCAAGUUUUAACUGUGAAUAUCCACAUAUGCUAUCAAAAUCCACUUCCCUGGUGGGGAAAAGGAUUUUUUUAUAUAUAAAUAUAUAAUAUGGCUGCAGUCUGACGUUCUGAAUUCUCAGGCUUGAAAUUUUGCAAGUAGUGUUGUCAUUGCAACUGGUACCACAAUUGCAAGAACUUUCACAGAAUCACACAGAAUUGUUGAGGUUGGCAGAGACCUCUGGAGAUUGUCUAAUUCACCUGCCCUGUUUGAAGCAGGGUCAGCUACAGCAGGUUCCCCAGGACAUCGUCCAGUUGGGUUUAAAGUCCCACUACAAAGUCCAUGCUAAAAGCUUUUCCUUAAUGCUUAUAUGAAACUUGUUCUAUCUCAUUGCUUAACAUCCUUUCAGUGGGCAACAGUGAGAAGCUUUGCCUGUCUUCUUUACUCCUCUCCAUCAAGUAUUUAUAUAAAUUGACAAGAUGCCACUUGAGCUUUCCCUUCACCAGGCUAAAAAAUCCCAGCUUUCUCAGCCUCCCCUCCUGUCCCUUCAUCAUCUUCAUGGCCCUUUCUGGACCAGCUCAUACUGAGGAGCCCAGCACUGGACCCAGCAUUCCCACUGUGGCCGCAGCGGUGCUGAGCACAGAGGGGCAGGAUGAAGCCUCACCUCCCUUGACCUGCUGGCAUCGCUCUUCCUAGGGCAGCCCAGCAUCCUGUUGGCAUUUUGGAUAAAUAGAGCCCAGGAGGGUGUAAUCUCUUGAUGCUUCUAUGUUACUUCAUUGAAGCUAGUAGCAGUUACCUGUCUGCAUCAAAAUAAGAGUAUAAACACCCACCAGUGCUUGAAAUAGCUUUUUAAAAAUGAGACCAUUAUCUUUGAAAUAACCACUAAUGGGGGGGCGGGGGGGUGGGGGGGUAUGUUGCCAUGUGUAUGUCAUUCUGUAAUAAAGGUCCUGUGGUAAAGUAGUUAGAAAGCAAGACUUUUUUAGUAACAAUGGGCCAAAAAAGUAUUUAAGAUGCAGCAAGAUGCAUGUGUUGUCAUACUGAGAAUAGUCUUGCAGUAUGUUUUUAAAAAACAAAAAACCAGCCACCACCUUUUUUCCCCUUCUGCUGUGCUACUCAAGUAAAGAAGUUUGGCCUAUGAUACUUACUGUAGUUCAUGUUCAUUAGAAACUGUAAAAAGUCUGCUUUUUAUUUAUCUUCGUGGUCUGUAUCACAUGCUGUUUAUUAAAAAAACCCUACUUUUGUUUGUUUUUUAUCACACUUUGGAGUGUUAAUGUAUAUACUAACAAUUAAAUUAAAAUAAUAUGGUUGGUACUCUUGUGAAUUCUGAAGUGAGAAUUUAAGGAAUCUUCAGUCGUGGAGGUGUGACUUGGUGUUGCAGCUCUGCUUUCGAAAAAGGCUAGAAGAAAGGAGAUGAUUGUCUAGAACAGUUAAUUGAGGUGGGGUGGGGGGAGAAAUGGAAUUUGCAUUAUUUAUAGGUGGGAAGUCAAGAGGCAUGUGGUGGUCAUUCUUGUACACUUUGAUCCUCAAAAUAAGUAACAUUUUAGAUGUGGGCUGUAAAAGUUCUGAUAAGAGACCAGAUGCUAUUGCAGUUUCAGCUGAAUGGUUUUAAAGCCCCGGCUAAAUCAAUAUGUUUGAUGUUUUGGGUUUUUUUUUUAAAUAUCCUUCAUGCUUUCAUUACCAAAACUAUAUUAAAAAAACAAACUAGGUUGUAUUUUUGUAUCCAGUAUGAAUUUUGAAAGAGUAAGAAACAUAUUUGGGAAAUUACUGGCAAGUAUAAGAGCAUGGGGCUGCACUGGAAUUGCUUCUGUGGGCAUGUUGGUCUACUUUGGACUUCUAUUGCUAAGAAAUUGUUAUGGGAGGGGGAUUUGAGUUCUCUUGCUGAGAAUUUCCCUUUUUUGAAGGGAUGAGGGAAGUGUCAGGGUUUUUUAAUCAGGUAAUUUCUACACAUCUUUGCCCCCAGUAAGCUUUAAACUUUGUAUGCUGGUUAAUUCUGUUUCAGAUCACCGCUGCCUAGCUUUGAGAAGGGCUAUGUUCCAGCAAGUACUCGGUCUGCAUGGGAUUUGAACUCCAUCAUAAAAGGUGGACAUCAUUAUCCUUAGUUAUUCUGAAGCUCCAGCUGAGCUCUAGGCUGGAGAGGGCAAAUCAAACUAUGGCUUGUGAUUUUGAAGUAGUCUAGUAAUUUUGUUAGUGUAAGGUGAGCUUUACCUUUUCUAGUAACUGUGAGAUGCUUAUGAGUGGUUACUGCCUUGUUUUAAAUGGUUCAGGGAAAGGGGAUUAUUAGUUCUUGUCAAAAUGUGAAUUUUAGAGUUUACUGCCAUUACCAUGGUUUGAUUUUUGUGGUGGUUCUAUGUUUCAAUCCCUAAAGCACCAAAAAAUUAUGGAAAACUUGCAAAAUAAUGCUGGUGAAACAGAAGAAUUAUUUGCAAUGUGGCCAGUUUGCUUUAGCAUGGGAAUCUCAAUGAGCCCUCCUGAUUUUAUGCUCAGAAAUCAGUCUGGUUUUCAACCUGCAUUGGGAAGACUUUAUCCAAAAUGUGAACCCAUGUAAUAAAAGAGCAAGAAAACUGAUGCUAGAUAAGAUAUCUCAGAUAAACUCUUUUUUCAAUGAAAGCAGUAAGUAUAGCUCAUAAUAAUCUUUGCUGAAAAUAUAUGUCCCUUUAAGCUAAUGAAUCUAGGAGGUUAUCCCAUUCUUCUUUCGGUAAGGAUACAUCCCUACUAAUUGAAAUGAUCAACAUAGAUGAUGCUCAUUUCAACCAUAAGGUGAGUAUCACACGGGCUUUUCUGUGUUUCCAGUUGGAAUGGGUUCUAAGUGAUUAAAACCUGACCCAGAGUUGUCUGAACAUCCCAAGCACGUGAUGGUUUAGAAAACGGGAGUCAGACUUUUCUGUCUGAAGUAUUGAUGACACUGUCUGAUGCCUGUGGCUUUGAACUGAAUUUGUGGCUUCAAAGGGGAUCCUCCUCAGAUGUUUUUCUUUCACUUGAAGUCUUGUAUUUUUGUCUGACAUAGGUGAUGUUGGGCUGUGCUGCUUUGUGUGGAGAAGAAAUCAGUCAAAAGGUACAGAAUAUAUAUUGUGAUUUGGUUAGCCUGAGUUUGUCUCACCAAGCAGGCCUGAAUUCAAAGGAAAGGGUUGGGUUUGGUGUGGGUUUUGUCUUGUUUUUUGUUUUCUUUUUUCCCUUGGCAAAUAAUGGAUUUUAAGUUCUCAUUACUGCCCUCCGCUGGGAACUGGGGAAGGUAUUUUUUUGUAUAUUUACAUGGAAAACAUUUUGGUGAAUAGAGGGAGAACUAUGUGGGCAUCCACCCAUUUGGGUGACUAUAGCCAGUUUACGAGAACUUUAACACAAUCUGUCCUGGAGAAAUGUCAGCUCCGAUGGCUGGAAUAAACAGCAGAGAACAAACUGAACUGGGAUGCCAGGAUCUUGUUUGAUUGGUAAUUCAGCUCAGGAGAUAAUAGAUACACCACAUUUACUUAAUUUCUGAGGGCUCAGGAGUGUGUCUUCAAAGUGAUACCUUUACUUCUAUUUACUGCUUACUGUCAAGCUUUCUGUGUGAUCACGGGAUGAAGCUCUUUCUAUGUGGCUCUAACCAAAUCACAUCACCCUAAAGACAUGUUUUGAACUUUCAGGACAAAGGCCUAAAGGUAGGAUUUAUAAACAGAGUGAGUCCAGUUUCAGCUUCCAGCUAAUGAAUAAAACUGAGGUCAGAAGUAGGGUAUUUUUUUACUGAUCACUGGAACAACAUCAUCAGGGAUGUUGUGGAUUCUCUGCUAAUUGAAUGCUUGAUCUUAAAAUUAGGUAGCUUCAGGCUAAACUAGAGCAGAAUAGCUCAAUGAAUUAAAUGCUUGGUAAAAUUCCAUGAUCUGUUUUAAGUCAUCAACCUAAGUGACUGUAAUGGUUUUCCUUGUCUCUUCAAAAUAAAUGACUAUUUUGAAAAA